UACAGAGGGUGCGAGCGUUGUUCGGAAUUAUUGGGCGUAAAGGGCGCGUAGGCGGUGCGGUAAGUCACCUGUGAAAUCUCCUGGCUCAACUGGGAGCUUGCAGGCGAAACUGCCGUGCUGGAGUGUGGGAGAGGUGCGUGGAAUUCCUGGUGUAGCGGUGAAAUGCGUAGAUAUCUGGAGGAAUACCGGUGGCGAAGGCGGCAUCCUGGACCGGCAUUGACGCUGAGGAGCGAAAGCCAGGGGAGCAAACGGG
rnacentral:rRNA from 1 species